rnacentral:rRNA from 1 species
UACGUAGGUAGCGAGCGUUAUUCGGAUUUACUGGGCGUAAAGGGUCCGCAGGAGGCCUGCCAAGUCUGACGUGAAAGCCCACGGCUCAACUGUGGAACGGCGUCGGAAACUGGCGGGCUCGAGUGCACGAGGGGAAAGCGGAAUUCCAGGUGUAGCGGUGGAAUGCGUAGAUAUCUGGAGGAACACCGAUGGCGAAGGCGGCUUUCUGGCGUGCAACUGACUCUCAGGGACGAAAGUGUGGGGAG